CUGCUAAGGGUUUCUAUUGCCUCUUCCUCUCCUCUUCUUUUCUUCUUCUUCUUCUUCUGACAGGCGAAAGGAGUAAGGUUUACGAGACAACAGAAAUGGUGGUUCCAAAGAACAGCAAAUCAUCGUAUGAGGAGGACAGGCGGAAGAGACUGGAAGAGAAUAAGAGAAGAAUGGAGGAGCUAAAUCUUAGUAAAUUAGCUGAAGCACUGCACACUCCCAAGCCUUCACCUAUGAAGAAGGCGAAGCCGAAAGUGAAACGGUCUUUGGAUGUAUCUGCUGUCCGUCGGUCUAGCCGUGUGGCUGAUUUACCUCCGCGCAGUUACAAAGAAAUUCCAGUUGAACCUAUGGGAAGGCCAAGGCCAAGGAGUUAUGGAUAUAGGAGGGACUUGUCCAACAGAGUGUAUGCAGACGACGAAGACAGAGCAUAUGCCAUACAACGGGCAGAGGACCUUCAGGCAGGAUUAGAUCAAGAUAUUCCAAGCUUUGUGAAGCCACUGCUCCAGUCACAUGUUACCGGAGGUUUUUGGCUGGGUCUUCCAGUUCACUUUUGCAAGUCGCACCUUCCAAGUCGUGACACAAUGGUAACUCUAGUCGAUGAAAAAGGGGAAGAGUUUACAGCCAAGUAUCUUGCUCUUAAAACUGGGCUUAGCGGCGGAUGGAGAGGUUUUUCUCUCGAACACGGGUUGGUUGAUGGGGAUGCACUUGUUUUUCAUUUGAUUAAGCCGGCGACAUUCAAGGUGUACAUCAUAAGUGUAAAGGAACUUGCAGAAAACAACAGCUGAGAAUUAUGAGUAUGAACUUAAUUCUCCUUAUCUACAUAUGAAAUGUAUUAUUUAUGCAGGAAUGUAACUGAAUGGACAUUCUGAUGAGAAGCCAAGAGGGUUUCAUGCCUAUUAUAAGCCAAAAACAGAACACACCGAACCUAAUGAUAAAGACUAUUCUGCCCCCGGCCGUGCCCUUCUUCUCCGGCGACGAUGACGGCAGUGGCGUUGCAGAGCGGGCAAGUGUUCUUCCGUUGCAGCCAUUCCACAAUACACCCAACGUGAAACUCAUGUCUGCAAGGAAGCACUCCCACCAUACCACAACAAUCCUUCCCGCGCAAAUUAUCCUGACAGACUGCGCAGUUAUUCUCGUCAUCUCCGCCCACGCAAUUUCUCGUUUUCAGGCGUCUCAAAAUCGUCUCUUUCCUCAACCCAAAAUCGCCGCCGUCUUCUUCAAAGAAAACAGUAUCCUCGAAUUCUCGAAAACUAACCUGUCCGUACGAGCCAAUGGGCGGCGGCGCCGCCACAAGGACGGCGGUUUCAUCCUCUAGAACCCUAAUCCGGUCGAACCUCGUACGGCUUCUCUGGUACCGGACAUCGUCGUCGGCAUCGAGGAUCACAGUUUCGUCUUCAAUCCAAUUACAGCAGGCGGCGGCGGGCGACGGGCGGCGGGAGAAGUAAUUGUUAGGCGGAUUGAUGAGGGAACUGCGGUGUCGAAGAAGGAAGGAGUAAGCUUCGAAAGUAGGAGAGUAGAAGUGCGCCAUGGAAAUUGGAGAUGAAGAGUUUGUCUGAAUCUUUCUUCGCGAAAUAAGAAUGAAUGAAGAUUAACGUACGUUGAGGUUGAGGUUGAGGUUGUAUAUAUAGGCCAUAAUAUGGUAAUAUUUCCUUGUAUAGAUUUGAAAGAUUUAAGAAAUCCAAAACAAUUACCGUUAGUUGAGGGUAUAUUAAGGCUAUAAUAUAGUAAU